ensembl:lncRNA
AUCAAGUCAGUCCCCGAUCCACUCUGUGAUUUAACCCUGCCUCCAAAGCAGCAAAAAAUAAAGGAGUAAAGGAGGCUGUGCAACCACAACGCAACACAACACAAAUCCCUGGCGUGCAACCUUAUCGAACAGUCCAAGGCAGCCCUAUUGGUAAGUGUGGUCUGUUUCUUUGCCAGAACGAGCCCAAUUAAACAACCUCAUGCUGAACCUCAAGCUUCUAGUAAAAGAAGAGCAGGACAAACCAAAAGCUCAUACAAGGGAAGAAAUUAUAAAGAUCAGAGGAGAAAUCAAUGCAAUGGAUACUAAGAGAACAAUACAAAAAAUCAAUGAAGCCAAGAGUUGGUUCUUUGAAAGAAUCAACAAAAUUGACAAACCUUUAGUCAACCUUACCGAAAAAGGAAAGAAAAGGCCCAAAUCCAUGCAAUUAGGAAUGAAAAGGGUGAAAUUACAACAGACUCAGCAGAAAUUCAGAGGAUCAUCAAUACCUACUUCCAGAACCUACACACCAAUAAAAAGGAAAACACAGAAGAAAUGAGCAGAUUCCUAGAUACAUAUGAAUUACCAAAGUUGAAUGAAGAAGACCUAAAAAUUCUAAACAACCCAAUAUCAACCAAUGAAAUUGAAAAUGUAAUUAAAAACUUAUCAACUAAGAAAAGCCCGGGCCCUGAUGACUUCACUGCUAAAUUCUACAAGACAUUUGAGAGGAACUACUGCCACUACUGUUUAAAUUCUUCAGUGAAAUUGAAAGGGAAGCAAUACUCCCAAAUUCAUUCCUCGAAGCAAGCAUCACCUUGAUCCCCAAAGCAGAGAAAGACCCAACCAAAGAGGAGAACUAUAGGCCAAUCUCACUAAUGAACAUAGAUGCAAAAAUCUUUAAUAAGAUACUGGCAAAUAGAAUGCAGAAGAUCAUCAAGAAGAUCAUACAUCCUGAUCAAGUGGGAUUCAUCCCAGGGAUGCAGAGAUGGUCCAACAUACGCAAAUCAAUCAAUGUAAUACACUACAUCAAUAGAGCC